rnacentral:rRNA from 1 species
UACGGAGGGGGCGAGCGUUGUUCGGAAUCAUUGGGCGUAAAGGGCGCGUAGGCGGCCUGAUCAAGUCGGAUGUGAAGUCCCUCGGCUCAACCGAGGAACUGCACCCGAUACUGGUUGGCUAGAGUCCGGGAGGGGGUAGCGGAAUUCCCAGUGUAGCGGUGAAAUGCGUAGAUAUUGGGAAGAACACCGGUGGCGAAGGCGGCUACCUGGACCGGUACUGACGCUGAGGAGCGAAAGCGUGGGGAGCGAACAGG